rnacentral:rRNA from 1 species
CGGAGGAAAAGAAACUAACCAGGAUUCCGCCUAGUAACGGCGAGUGAAGAGGGAAUAGCCCAGCACCGAAGCCUGCGGUAGUUUUACUGUUAGGCAAUGUGGUGUUUGGGUCGGCUCGCGGGGUUGCCACUCCACUCGAAGUCCAGCAUUGAGUAUGGUCCACUGGAUUUGGCCCAGAGAGGGUGAAAGGCCCGUACGGGUGGAGGUUUCAGACAAGUAAGGCAACUCACUAGGCCGGCCUUAGAGUCGGGUUGUUUGGGAAUGCAGCCCAAAGAGGGUGGUAAACUCCAUCCAAGGCUAAAUACUAGCACGAGUCCGAUAGCAAACAAGUACCGUGAGGGAAAGUUGAAAAGUACUUUGAAGAGAGAGUAAACAGUACGUGAAGCCGCAUGCAGGUAAACGGGUGGCGUCAAGCUGCAAGCCCAGAGGAUUCAGCCGGUUAGAGUGUAGUACGCGCUUGCGUGUCAAACGGCCAGUGUAAGAUUGGGUAGUCCACUGGAAGACAGUGGGCCCUGCCGCAAGGUGUGGGUGUGUGUACCGAGUGGAAGUCGGAGCACGCUAUCCGUCUGUUGGGCCAUCUAGCCGGUGCACUUUCUCUGUGGUGAACACCACGACCGGUGGAACUGCCAGUCUGCUAUGGUCAAGUCGUGUUUGGUCGGUCCUUGUGGCCUUCUGAAUGCGAUCACGGGCAAAUUCGGUGAACGGCGUAGAUGUGCUCUCGGGUAUGUCUGCGUGUUAUCGGCUACCGGUUGUCUUAACGGGCCUGCCUUACGAUUGUCAAGCCGUCGUAGGGUGGUCUGGUGGACCUUAGUGGUAAGAAUACCUGUGCAGG